rnacentral:rRNA from 1 species
CGGGCCUAUACAUGCAAGUCGAGCGAACGGACGAGAGUGCUUGCACUCUCUGANGUUAGCGGCGGNACGGGUGAGUAACACGUGGGUAACCUACCUAUAAGACUGGGAUAACUUCGGGAAACCGGAGCUAAUACCGGAUAAUAUUUAGCUUCGCAUGAAGCAAUAGUGAAAGACGGUUCUGCUGUCACUUAUAGAUGGACCCGCGGUGUAUUAGCUAGUUGGUGAGGUAACGGCUCACCAAGGCAACGAUACAUAGCCGACCUGAGAGGGUGAUCGGCCACUGGG